AACGAACGCUGGCGGCAUGCCUAACACAUGCAAGUCGAGCGAGACCUUCGGGUCUAGUGGCGCACGGGUGCGUAACACGUGGGAAUCUGCCCUUUGCUUCGGAAUAACAGUUAGAAAUGACUGCUAAUACCGGAUGAUGUCGAAAGACCAAAGAUUUAUCGGCAAAGGAUGAGCCCGCGUAGGAUUAGGUAGUUGGUGGGGUAAAGGCCUACCAAGCCGACGAUCCUUAGCUGGUCUGAGAGGAUGAUCAGCCACACUGGGACUGAGACACGGCCCAGACUCCUACGGGAGGCAGCAGUGGGGAAUAUUGGACAAUGGGCGAAAGCCUGAUCCAGCAAUGCCGCGUGAGUGAUGAAGGCCUUAGGGUUGUAAAGCUCUUUUACCAGGGAUGAUAAUGACAGUACCUGGAGAAUAAGCGCCGGCUAACUCCGUG
rnacentral:rRNA from 1 species